AGAGUUUGAUCCUGGCUCAGGAUGAACGCUAGCGAUAGGCUUAACACAUGCAAGUCGAGGGGCAGCAUGAUCUUAGCUUGCUAAGGCCGAUGGCGACCGGCGCACGGGUGCGUAACGCGUAUGCAACUUGCCUUACAGAGGGGGAUAACCCGUUGAAAGACGGACUAAAACCGCAUACACUUGUAUUAUUGCAUGAUAUUACAAGGAAAUAUUUAUAGCUGUAAGAUAGGCAUGCGUCCCAUUAGCUGGUUGGUGAGGUAACGGCUCACCAAGGCGACGAUGGGUAGGGGAACUGAGAGGUUUAUCCCCCACACUGGUACUGAGACACGGACCAGACUCCUACGGGAGGCAGCAGUGAGGAAUAUUGGUCAAUGGGCGAGAGCCUGAACCAGCCAAGUCGCGUGAAGGAAGACAGUCCUAAGGAUUGUAAACUUCUUUUAUACGGGAAUAACGGGCGAUACGAGUAUUGCAUUGAAUGUACCGUAAGAAUAAGCAUCGGCUAACUCCGUGCCAGCAGCCGCGGU
rnacentral:rRNA from 1 species